ACUAAGCGUACACGGUGGAUGCCCUGGCAGUCAGAGGCGAUGAAGGACGUGCUAAUCUGCGAUAAGCGUCGGUAAGGUGAUAUGAACCGUUAUAACCGGCGAUUUCCGAAUGGGGAAACCCAGUGUGUUUCGACACACUAUCAUUAACUGAAUCCAUAGGUUAAUGAGGCGAACCGGGGGAACUGAAACAUCUAAGUACCCCGAGGAAAAGAAAUCAACCGAGAUUCCCCCAGUAGCGGCGAGCGAACGGGGAGCAGCCCAGAGCCUGAAUCAGUGUGUGUGUUAGUGGAAGCGUCUGGAAAGGCGCGCGAUACAGGGUGACAGCCCCGUACACAAAAAUGCACAUGCUGUGAGCUCGAUGAGUAGGGCGGGACACGUGGUAUCCUGUCUGAAUAUGGGGGGACCAUCCUCCAAGGCUAAAUACUCCUGACUGACCGAUAGUGAACCAGUACCGUGAGGGAAAGGCGAAAAGAACCCCGGCGAGGGGAGUGAAAAAGAACCUGAAACCGUGUACGUACAAGCAGUGGGAGCACGCUUAGGCGUGUGACUGCGUACCUUUUGUAUAAUGGGUCAGCGACUUAUAUUCUGUAGCAAGGUUAACCGAAUAGGGGAGCCGAAGGGAAACCGAGUCUUAACUGGGCGUUAAGUUGCAGGGUAUAGACCCGAAACCCGGUGAUCUAGCCAUGGGCAGGUUGAAGGUUGGGUAACACUAACUGGAGGACCGAACCGACUAAUGUUGAAAAAUUAGCGGAUGACUUGUGGCUGGGGGUGAAAGGCCAAUCAAACCGGGAGAUAGCUGGUUCUCCCCGAAAGCUAUUUAGGUAGCGCCUCGUGAAUUCAUCUCCGGGGGUAGAGCACUGUUUCGGCAAGGGGGUCAUCCCGACUUACCAACCCGAUGCAAACUGCGAAUACCGGAGAAUGUUAUCACGGGAGACACACGGCGGGUGCUAACGUCCGUCGUGAAGAGGGAAACAACCCAGACCGCCAGCUAAGGUCCCAAAGUCAUGGUUAAGUGGGAAACGAUGUGGGAAGGCCCAGACAGCCAGGAUGUUGGCUUAGAAGCAGCCAUCAUUUAAAGAAAGCGUAAUAGCUCACUGGUCGAGUCGGCCUGCGCGGAAGAUGUAACGGGGCUAAACCAUGCACCGAAGCUGCGGCAGCGACGCUUAUGCGUUGUUGGGUAGGGGAGCGUUCUGUAAGCCUGCGAAGGUGUGCUGUGAGGCAUGCUGGAGGUAUCAGAAGUGCGAAUGCUGACAUAAGUAACGAUAAAGCGGGUGAAAAGCCCGCUCGCCGGAAGACCAAGGGUUCCUGUCCAACGUUAAUCGGGGCAGGGUGAGUCGACCCCUAAGGCGAGGCCGAAAGGCGUAGUCGAUGGGAAACAGGUUAAUAUUCCUGUACUUGGUGUUACUGCGAAGGGGGGACGGAGAAGGCUAUGUUGGCCGGGCGACGGUUGUCCCGGUUUAAGCGUGUAGGCUGGUUUUCCAGGCAAAUCCGGAAAAUCAAGGCUGAGGCGUGAUGACGAGGCACUACGGUGCUGAAGCAACAAAUGCCCUGCUUCCAGGAAAAGCCUCUAAGCAUCAGGUAACAUCAAAUCGUACCCCAAACCGACACAGGUGGUCAGGUAGAGAAUACCAAGGCGCUUGAGAGAACUCGGGUGAAGGAACUAGGCAAAAUGGUGCCGUAACUUCGGGAGAAGGCACGCUGAUAUGUAGGUGAAGCGACUUGCUCGUGGAGCUGAAAUCAGUCGAAGAUACCAGCUGGCUGCAACUGUUUAUUAAAAACACAGCACUGUGCAAACACGAAAGUGGACGUAUACGGUGUGACGCCUGCCCGGUGCCGGAAGGUUAAUUGAUGGGGUUAGCGCAAGCGAAGCUCUUGAUCGAAGCCCCGGUAAACGGCGGCCGUAACUAUAACGGUCCUAAGGUAGCGAAAUUCCUUGUCGGGUAAGUUCCGACCUGCACGAAUGGCGUAAUGAUGGCCAGGCUGUCUCCACCCGAGACUCAGUGAAAUUGAACUCGCUGUGAAGAUGCAGUGUACCCGCGGCAAGACGGAAAGACCCCGUGAACCUUUACUAUAGCUUGACACUGAACAUUGAGCCUUGAUGUGUAGGAUAGGUGGGAGGCUUAGAAGUGUGGACGCCAGUCUGCAUGGAGCCGACCUUGAAAUACCACCCUUUAAUGUUUGAUGUUCUAACGUUGACCCGUAAUCCGGGUUGCGGACAGUGUCUGGUGGGUAGUUUGACUGGGGCGGUCUCCUCCUAAAGAGUAACGGAGGAGCACGAAGGUUGGCUAAUCCUGGUCGGACAUCAGGAGGUUAGUGCAAUGGCAUAAGCCAGCUUGACUGCGAGCGUGACGGCGCGAGCAGGUGCGAAAGCAGGUCAUAGUGAUCCGGUGGUUCUGAAUGGAAGGGCCAUCGCUCAACGGAUAAAAGGUACUCCGGGGAUAACAGGCUGAUACCGCCCAAGAGUUCAUAUCGACGGCGGUGUUUGGCACCUCGAUGUCGGCUCAUCACAUCCUGGGGCUGAAGUAGGUCCCNNNNNNNNNGCUGUUCGCCAUUUAAAGUGGUACGCGAGCUGGGUUUAGAACGUCGUGAGACAGUUCGGUCCCUAUCUGCCGUGGGCGCUGGAGAACUGAGGGGGGCUGCUCCUAGUACGAGAGGACCGGAGUGGACGCAUCACUGGUGUUCGGGUUGUCAUGCCAAUGGCACUGCCCGGUAGCUAAAUGCGGAAGAGAUAAGUGCUGAAAGCAUCUAAGCACGAAACUUGCCCCGAGAUGAGUUCUCCCUGACCCUUUAAGGGUCCUGAAGGAACGUUGAAGACGACGACGUUGAUAGGCCGGGUGUGUAAGCGCAGCGAUGCGUUGAGCUAACCGGUACUAAUGAACCGUGAGGCUUAACC
rnacentral:rRNA from 1 species